CAAACCGUAGUUUGUAAGUCGCUCUGGAUAAGAGCGUCUGCUAAAUCACUUAAA
rfam:Salmo salar isolate Sally breed double haploid chromosome ssa13, whole genome shotgun sequence.